CGUCCAUAGGCGGAAGUCCCGCCCAUAGAGUGAGUUCCCACCCACCUGGCGUAGUCCCGCCCAUAGAGCCAAGUCUAAGGAGCAAGGUGCAGUGAAAAAGCGAAGCCCCACCCAUAGAGCGAGGUUCGGAAGUCCAGUCUCAUUAGCAUCCCUUGUCUUCCGCGGUGUUGCAGACUUAUCCUCAGCUCAAGCGAGUUUGGGGCGUUAUGGAGCCAGCCAAGUCUCCCCUUGCUGGCGUGGGUACUUGUGCAGAAACUUCCCGAGGUGCUUCUGAGACUGCACAGUGAAGACCGCCGCACCGGAGGUCAGCGCUCCGCCGCGGACUCCCGGCUGACUCUGCCACUCUCCCAGGAGGAGGCGCUGUGCACCUCUGGGUGGUUUCCAGGGCUCGGCUGGCGGUAGAGGGAGCCUUGAGGUUGGAAAAGAUCUAGAGCUAUAAUCUCCGAAAGGAAGAUUUGUAAUGCACUGCGAGUUAGAAAUGUUUUUCUCACUGCAGCUUCCUUGUUUCAAAAAGAGAAUUUUUGACAGCACUGCAAAGGCACAAGAAACCAGGCACAGUAUAAAAUAUACAAAUAAAACAGGUACCAAGGAACUUAAAACAUUCAACCCAUAACGUCGUCUAGGUUUUUCUGCUUUAAGAAAAUUGACUCAAUUCUUCCAAGAGAAUAACCCUAUUAAAGGCUAAAAAUGGAAGCUCCCAGUUAUGUAGAAGAUAUUUCCAUCUGGAUCCGUCUUAGAAAGUGAAACAGGAAAUGGCUUAAUCCUAGAGGAGAAGAUAAGACUGGAGAAAUUACUGGGGAAAGGGCGGUUAAGGGCUUUCUGCAAGUGCUUGAGACUAUCCCUGUGGCACCCCCUACCACAGCCCUAGGAACAAUAGCAUAAGAUCCUUGCACCAAUAAAUGUCACAGAAAGGAUGGAGUUUUCUGCCUUUAAAUGUAAUGUGGACUUUGGCAUUGAGCAUCUCAGCAG
rnacentral:lncRNA from 1 species